rnacentral:tRNA from 1 species
GGGGUUAUAGUUUAAUUUAAAUCAUGAAGCUGUUAACUUCAAGAUGCUAUUUUUAAUGGCUUACCCCU